rnacentral:rRNA from 1 species
UACGUAGGGUGCGAGCGUUAAUCGGAAUUACUGGGCGUAAAGCGUGCGCAGGCGGUGAUGUAAGACAGGUGUGAAAUCCCCGGGCUAACCUGGGAACUGCAUUUGUGACUGCAUCGCUGGAGUGCGGCAGAGGGGAUGGAAUUCCGCGUGUAGCAGUGAAAUGCGUAGAUAUGCGGAGGAACACCGAUGGCGAAGGCAAUCCCCUGGGCCUGCACUGACGCUCAUGCACGAAAGCGUGGGGAGCAAACAGG